rnacentral:misc_RNA from 1 species
UACGGAGGGUGCGAGCGUUAAUCGGAAUUACUGGGCGUAAAGCGCGCGUAGGCGGCGUGUUAAGCCGGUUGUGAAAGCCUCGGGCUCAACCUGGGACCGGCAUCCGGAACUGUCAGGCUAGAGUGCAGGAGGGGAAGGUAGAAUUCCCGGUGUAGCGGUGAAAUGCGUAGAGAUCGGGAGGAAUACCAGUGGCGAAGGCGGCAUUCUGGACUGACACUGACGCUGAGGUGCGAAAGCGUGGGUAGCAAACAUG